rnacentral:rRNA from 1 species
GAUGAACGCUGGCGGCGUGCCUAAUACAUGCAAGUCGAGCGAACGGACGAGAAGCUUGCUUUUCUGAUGUUAGCGGCGGACGGGUGAGUAACACGUGGAUAACCUACCUAUAAGACUGGGAUAACUUCGGGAAACCGGAGCUAAUACCGGAUAAUAUUUUGAACCGCAUGGUUCAAAAGUGAAAGACGGUCUUGCUGUCACUUAUAGAUGGAUCCGCGCUGCAUUAGCUAGUUGGUAAGGUAACGGCUUACCAAGGCAACGAUGCAUAGCCGACCUGAGAGGGUGAUCGGCCACACUGGAACUGAGACACGGCCCAGACUCCUACGGGAGGCAGCAGUAGGGAAUCUUGCGCAAUGGGCGAAAGCCUGACGGAGCAACGCCGCGUGAGUGAUGAAGGUCUUCGGAUCGUAAAACUCUGUUAUUAGGGAAGAACAUAUGUGUAAGUAACUGUGCACAUCUUGACGGUACCUAAUCAGAAAGCCACGGCUAACUACGUG